UCGAACGCGAAAGUUCCCUUCGGGGAGCGAGUAGAGUGGCGCACGGGUGAGUAACACGUAGGUAAUCUACCUUUGGAUUGGGAAUAACAACCGGAAACGGUUGCUAAUACCGAAUAAUGCAGCGGCCCCUAAUGGUGACAGUUGUUAAAGCGGGGGAUCGCAAGACCUCCCGUCUAAAGAGGAGCCUGCGGCGGAUUAGCUAGUUGGUAAGGUAACGGCUUACCAAGGCGAUGAUCCGUAGCCGGCCUGAGAGGGCGGUCGGCCACACUGACACUGACAUACGGGUCAGACUCCUACGGGAGGCAGCAGUCGGGAAUUUUGGGCAAUGGGCGAAAGCCUGACCCAGCAACGCCGCGUGAAGGAUGAAAUCCUUCGGGAUGUAAACUUCGCAAGAACAGGAAGAAUAAGUAAGAGUUAAUAUCUCUUACGAUGACGGUACUGUUUGUAAGCUCCGGCUAACUCCGUGCCAGCAGCCGCGGUAAUACGGGGGGAGCAAGCGUUGUUCGGAUUUACUGGGCGUAAAGGGCGGGUAGGCGGCCACCGCAAGUCAGUUGUGAAAUCUCCGGGCUUAACCCGGAAAGGUCAACUGAUACUGCGGGGCUAGAGUGCAGAAGGGGCAACUGGAAUUCUCGGUGUAGCGGUGAAAUGCGUAGAUAUCGAGAGGAACACCUGCGGCGAAGGCGGGUUGCUGGGCUGACACUGACGCUGAACUGCGAAAGCUAGGGGAGCGAACGGGAUUAGAUACCCCGGUAGUCCUAGCCUUAAACGAUGAAUGCUUGGUGUCUGGGG
rnacentral:rRNA from 1 species